rnacentral:rRNA from 1 species
AGUGACGAUAGCCUAGGAGAUACACCUGUUCCCAUGCCGAACACAGAAGUUAAGCCCUAGUACGCCUGAUGUAGUUGGGGGUUGCCCCCUGUUAGAUACGGUAGUCGCUUAGCU